AGAACGUUCUUACCACCCAACUGGCAACUACCCAAGUUCAAAAACUGAUGAGUCACCCAUUUAUGGGAUCAAGAUCUUUACGCAGUAAUCAAUACCAAAAAGUUGAGACCACUCAUAUUCAAACACAAAGAAACUGCUCGAUCGACAACUGAUUAACAAGGCUCAGAGUUUCAGAGAAUCGAACCCAAUAAGAUCUUCUAGGAUGACGCAGACUUGUCUUCUUUUGGCUUGAUCACAUCACCCUCACCGUAUCCUUCAUCGUCAUCCUCGCCGUAAAACUGUCGCCAUCUCCAUCUCCAUUACUAAUCCUUUAGUUUGGGCUUACUAACCGGUACUCAACAUGAUUGGGCUUCUAGAAUUAGGUUUUUUAUGUGAUUCAAACUGGGCUAGGCCCUGUAAACAUUUUGGUUUUUUUCUAUUUAAUAUUCCCUCCGUUUCCGAAAGUAAAAUUUUCUAGAGUUUAUUCUUGCUACACAAAAAUAGAUUUUCUAUAUUUUUAAGGUACUUUGUAUAUUUUUAAGAAACAUUAAUUAUGAAUAUUUGAAUUGAUUAAAUUUUAUUAGUGGAUAGUUAUUGGAAAGUGUAUUGAAAAGUAAAUCUAUAAUGUUAAAGGGAUUAAGCUCUUGAUUUUUCCAAUUAAUUACAAAAUUUUUUAUUAAUUUUUUCAGUGACUUUUUCGAUAAUAAACCUGAUUUUGUCGGUCAAAACAAUAAACUAGAUUUGUAAGGACAGUGAGCUUGAACCUAUUAAGAUAAAAUAUGAUAUAUGUUUCAUUUUCUUUCUGGUUGAAUUGGUUUUUGCGACCCAAAUUGAUCAUUUUUUCAUGUGAUUUUAAAAUCAAGUAAUAGUGCGUCUCAUUUUAAUUCUUUUCAGCAAAUUAAAAUAUUUGAAAAUAUAAAAUAGAGACAUUAUAAUUUUUCAUAAUAUAAACAUUACAGAUUAUAUUUUUAAUAAAAACUAUAACAUUUUUUCUGAAUAUAGUAACUUUAUGUUAUUAAAAUUAUUUGUUAUUCUUUGCUAUAUUAUUUAUACCUUAAAUAAAUAGAUAUGUAAGUAAAAUAAUUUUCUAAAUAUUUCUCCCAUUUUAUUAUAUUGGUGAUUCACAAUAUGAUGAUUUUUUAUUUUACCUCAAUUAUUUGAAAUGAUUUAAAACAUAAAUGUAACCAGAACCGAAAAAUUCGAAAUUUUUAUAUAUCCAUACCACAUAAAAUAUCAAAAUAUUCAAUCACUUUAACCAAAACUCAACUUCAUAUAUAACCAAAAUUGUUCAUAUAUUUGUAAACCAAAAACUACAACCAAACUGAAAUCGAAAACCAAUAAAAGCAAAUUAGAGUCGAACGAAAACCGAAAAUGUUUAUAGCGAAAUAAAUUAGUUAACAAAUAGUUAUAUCAAUAAAUUUUUCAACAAAUAUACUUCCACGCUUUCAAAACGCGGAUCAAAAUCUAGUUGUAGAUUAAAUUGUAAACAUUUAUUAUAUUCUUAAUAGACGUGAAAACUCUAGAAAUAUGCUUACUAAUCACUAUGUAACAAACACCAAUGACUAUAUAAUAUACUCUUAUUCUUCAGUAAAGCUUAAGGAAAAAAUAUAAUUACUGUGAACAGAGAAUAAUGUUCCAGACACAUAGUAAGUCAUAAAAAGCAUUUCCCUAAUAACUAUCUUAAAAUUGUAUAUUUGUUACCCUUGAUAAAACAAAAUUAGGAGUCAGUGGACAAAAUCAUCAACCAAAGGAUUAAGGUCAAUAAUACCCCGAGUCCAACAAAAUAUGCAAAUAGGAACAUCUCCAACUCAUCUAUGUAUUUAUUUAGUUCAACGCACUUUUAUUUUUUUCUAUAAAAUAGAGAAUUGUUAUUUCUUCAACCCACUUUUAUUUUUUCAAUCCAUCUUUAUUCUUCUACUUAUAGAGAAAUUAUAACAAUUCAUUAAUUUACUCUAUAAUUAGAGAUUAAUAUUUAAAGAAAUUUAUUGGAGUAAACUCUAAUUUUACUGUAGAGUUCUUCUAUUUUAGAAGCAAAAAUAACAAAAUAUGUUAGAGAUAUCUAAGAGAAUUGUUUACAAAGAAAAUAUUGCUGCAUAAUGAUAUCGCAUUGAGGAGAUAAGCUGCAGUGCCACCUGUUGGUGGUUUUGUCUUUUUUGUCUUUUGGUAGUUUCUCUAUUAUCUUUUUCACCUUUUCUCUGAGAAUUAGAUGCCUUAAUAUUGUUCAAAUUGAUAGGGUUCUAUAUAUCUUACAUCAACAUUUUUUUUUUUGAAACACAAAAGAACACUAUUGUUUAAAAGUUAGAAAAAAAAGAGAGAAAAAUGGUUAUGUAAGAGCACGAUUAUCGGCGUCUCUUAUGUGAGUAUUUAGGUAUAAUUCUGAUUAAAAAUAAAAGGAAAAAAUGAUUUACCUUAAGCGACGUCUCCUAAUUAAGCGUCACAAGAGACGGUUCUUCUUGGACACGCGUCACUUGAUGGAGGAAAGGGAGGAAAAACCGAGGGCUGGGCAUCGACUCCCCAUGAUGCGGAAUCGAAACGGAAGGCUUCUCAUGGCAAUGGUUCAUGUAUCUCCCGUACGCAGACGACGGCGAGUUCGACGGGGAAGGCGUAACGGAGAACGGAGAUUUCAAAGAUCGAUCGCUGCUUGAAGAUGACGGCGAUCCCUGUCUAUGAGGAGAUAGAACGGCUCGGAUCUUGGCUCCGGAGACGCGAUCGUACCUUUAUCAAAUCGUACAAUGGAGAUUCCCUGGUAGGGAAGAAGGUGAGAAUCUAGUUGUGGCUGUUGAUGACGAUGGGUUGUUCACUGAGAGAAUUACCCAUUUCAGUGCCGGUAUGUCAAAGAUGCAGACAAGGAUAUAAUUGAAGCCGUGAAGGCCAAAGGCAGGCUUGUUAAACCGGGGAGCUUUGUUCACUCAUAUCCAUUUUGCUGGCGAUCAGACACUCCUCUCAUAUAUAGAGCCGUUCCCAGUUGGUUUGUGCAAGUGGAGCUGUUGAAGGAGCAGUUGCUAGAAAACAAUAAACAGACACACUGGAUACCUGAUUAUGUGAAGGUCAGUGAAGAAAGAUCAAUGAUCUAUAUAUAUUACAAGUAUAGCAGUUUUAGAGAAUGACGUGAAUACAUUUUUCAUGAUACCUUCUUCUUGAUUGACCUGCAACUCAUUUGUAUCUUUGGCUCUCAAUUUGUUCUUCUUGUGACACCUUAAGAAGAAUCAUCUCAUGGAGUAACAUGUUCAUCUCAUUAAACAAUGUUUAAGUUUUGUUUUUAA